GUCACGACCAUCCAUCUCCAGAACUUUUUUAUUAUCCACAGCUGAAACUCUGUGCUCGUUGAACAUAAGUCCUCAUUUCCCGCAAGUCCCUGAGUUGACCUUCCGAAACACAGUACACCAUCUCUUGCACGACUGUCACCUGCUCCACCACGCAGCCACCACGUUUGGAGUCACACUUGUGGAUGGAAGAUGUUCCGGCCAGUUGAGCUGGGAGCCACCGUGGGUGCUCUGCUGUUCGGUGUGAACCUCAGGGAGGGCACAGCCGUCUUGUGAGCAGCAUCCAUAAAUCUGUGAAUAAGUGAGAGACUCAUAAUGGACAUAGUAAAGUAUUUAUAGUAAAGUUUCAAUAUUAGCAUCCA